rnacentral:rRNA from 1 species
GAUCAUGGCUCAGGAUGAACGCUAGCGGCAGGCUUAACACAUGCAAGUCGAGGGGCAGCAUAAUGGAUAGCAAUAUCUAUGGUGGCGACCGGCGCACGGGUGCGUAACGCGUAUGCAACCUACCUUUAACAGGGGGAUAACACUGAGUAAAUUGGUACUAAUACCCCCAUAAUAUCAUAGAAGGCAUCUUUUAUGGUUGAAAAUUCCGAUGGUUAGAGAUGGGCAUGCGUUGUA